GGUUUUUCACCCCUGGAUGCUUCUAGUAUUUAGAGCUGAGAAGUGACUUUCUCUUCAAGAACCUGUGCUGAUUUUUUGUGCAGUGACCGCUGCAGAGCUCAACCCUGGAUCUUCUUGCAUAGCUAAGUCCCAGCCGUGCCCAUGGUGUCCCAGGAUCUCAUCGCUGCUGCUCUGAUCCUCACCUGCUUCCUCAGCUUCUGUAGCCUUACCUGCCCACAGCAGAAUCACAGGAGACUGUCCCCAGCAUCCUAAUCUAGCUGGCUCAGUGGGACACACAGGCCUCAUGUCACUUCCAAAGCUGUUAGGAUUGACUCUUUGCUCUCAAUGGAUACGUUCCUCAUGAAGUCAUUUACAAGUCAAAACCACCAUUGUCUCCUCCAGUGCUGAAGAGAAGAUAACGCAAUGUCUGAGUUCCUGCUCCCAAGUCACCUGGAGAGUUCUCCCAAGUGUGUGAGAUCUGGAGGAAUGCAGUCCAAGUAACUCUGCUGGAGCCCUGUUUCCCACCAGAGCUUCCAGACACUUUUUGGAACUCAGUGGGGAAUUAUCAGUUGGUGGAAAGUGACUUGUCCAUCUGUCUAUUUGUCUGUCUAUUUAUCUAACAUCUAUCAUCCACCAGUCUGUCUAUCAUCUACAUCUAUCUAUCCAUCUACACAUCUGUCUAUUUUUCUAAGAAUUAUUUAUUUUAUGUAUAUGAGUAUACUCUAGCUGUACAGAUGUUUGUAGCCUUCAUGUGGUUGUUGGGAAUUGAAUUUUAGGACCUCUUCUCACUCUGGUCAACCCUGCUCUCUCUGGUCGGCCCUGCUCGCUCCGGUCAACUCAGCUUGCUCCAACCCAAAGAUUUGUUUAUUAUUAUACAUCAGUACACUGUAGCUGUCUUCAGGCACACCAGGAGAGGGCAUCAGAUCUCAUUAAAGGCGGUUGUGAGCCAUCAUGUAGUUGCUGGGAUUUGAACUCAGGACCUUGGGAAGAGCAGUCAGUGCCCUUACCCACUGAGCCAUCUCACCAGCCCACAUCUGUCUAUUUAAUUAAAUAUUUUAUUUUUUUCAUUUGUGGGUAAGGGUGAGGGUGAGUGUAGGUGAAUGCCUUUACCUGCUGACUCAUAUCAUAGGCUCUAGUUAGGGUAAUUUUUUUUUAAAGAUUGAUUUCUUAUUUA